UUCUUAAAUCUUUUAAUGUUCUUUAUUAAUACGUAAAUAAUAAACAUGUGGGAUCCAUUGCAAUAUUUUCUAAGACAUGCAAUACAUGCACAACUACAUCGCUUUCAGAAUAGCUCCUUCUUUAUAAGAAUGGUUGCAAUCUUCUGAAUCUUGUCCUCUUUCCAAAUAAAUUCCAGUAGUAGUGGUUUGUAGGAUUUGAAUAUGGGGUAUUAUAUCUACAUUGAUUGAACUGGUAGGUAUUUUAUAUGACAUAAUUUAAAUGUUUUUGUGAUAAAUAUUAAGUCUAUUUAUACUCUGGGAAGGAGAAAGACACUCUGAGUGUAAUUUUAUAGAAUAUUCAUAAGAUGAGUUAAAUCAGAUUUUUGACAGCUCUUUUUAUGGAUUUUAUUUAAAUUACAAGUGUUUUUAACUGUUUUCCAGAUGCAAUUAUCACAGACCACAGAUUCACGUUCUUUAUAACCCUGGGGAGAAAUCACACAAUUACAUAGUCAGAGAUUUAAACUGAAACAAAUUCUUAAAUACAAAUUGUCUAUUAUAUGAAUAGUAUGUAAAUAAUUAGAAUUUUACUAAAGAAGGCAAAAAGCACCAGACAUACUUCUGACCUCUUUAUACAACCAGUCACUGAAUUUAAAAUGCUAAUUUCCACUGGCUGUGCUUCAAAAAUGAUGUACAUUGAACACAAUACUAAUUAUUUAAGAUUUCAAUGAAUAUUGAAAGAAGGCAGAAAGAGAAGAUUUUGUGCCUUUAAAUGUGUUUUUAAUCUGCCUUUCAAGAGAGGUAUUUAUUUACAAAUAAAACACUUUAUUGCUUAUCUUGUAAACACAUAUUUACAGUGGAUAAAGAGCUUUCAGGAAAAUUGUUAAUGUAAGUAAUGUUAAACACAUCCAUCAGGGUUCAUAAAGUAUUUUGUGAUAUACCGGCUGCAACCUAGAAAAUGAUGUUUCUGGCCUGGCAAGUUGGCCAUUGCCUAUAAUCCCAAUGGUUUGGAAGGCCCAGGCAGGAGGAUCACUUGAAGCCAGGAGUCGAAGACCAGGAUAGGCAACAUAGUGAGAGCCCAUCCUGUAAGAUGGAUGUUCCAAAGGGGUUGCUCCAUUGCCGAUGCAGAGGAUCCUGAGGUUUUAAGUCAUAAAGAGUGUGCUUCAAAAUCACCUACCGGGCUUGUUUAAAGUGCAGAUUCCUUGGCUUCAACCCACAUCCACCAAACAGAAUCACAGUAGAUGGGCUGUAAACAUUUGCUUUUUAAACAAGCUCCUCAGGACAAACUGAUGUGCCCAAAGUUUGGGAAUGAAUGCUUUUGCUUCUUUUUCAAGUUUCUCAACCCCCUAAGCUGACAGUCUUACACAAUGAACAAAGCUGGUCAAACUGGUUAAUAAAAUGUUAAAAUAUAGCAAUUAGUAAAUAACAGCUUUCCUGACACCCAACUUUCACUGUCAGUGCAAAUGCCAAAAUGACCACCUAAUCUCUCCAAGUCCUAGCCUGGGGCACUUCUACUUCCCCAUAUUCAGCAGCUGAAACAAUAACACCUGGGAGAGCAGGUGCUCAGAACUUCAUUGCAGUGCUGUAGCUGGUCUGUUUUCUGUUUGGUUAGUCAACAUGCCCCAGGGAUCGUUAGCUGUUUUUACCGUUCUCCUGGAUCCCUGUGGAUUUCUAAUGGGCAAACUUUUUAAAAGUACAAAUUCUCAGACUCUAAGAUGCUGGAGAAUCUGAUUUAGCAAGUCUGGGCAUGUUACCAUUUAUCUAUGUAGUCCCAAAAGCUUCCCAGGUGACUUUGGAGAUCACCUAGGUUUGGAAACCAAAACCUUCCUACUCAAAGUGUGGUCUGGAGACCAGCAUCACCAGCAUCAGCUGAGAGCUUGUUAGAAAUGUAGAAUCUUAGCACCUCCACCUCACUCACACUGACCAAAUCAGAAUCUGCAUUUCAAAAAGGUGUCCAAGUGAUUCAUGCACACUAACUAAUACGGUUUGGUUCUGUGUCUUCACCCAAAUCUCACCUUGAAUUGUAAUCCCCAUAAUUCCCACAUGUUAG
rnacentral:lncRNA from 1 species